rnacentral:rRNA from 1 species
GAUGAACGCUGGCGGCGUGCCUAAUACAUGCAAGUCGAGCGAACAGACGAGGAGCUUGCUCCUCUGACGUUAGCGGCGGACGGGUGAAUAACACGUGGAUAACCUACCUAUAAGACUGGGAUAACUUCGGGAAACCGGAGCUAAUACCGGAUAAUAUAUUGAACCGCAUGGUUCAAUAGUGAAAGACGGUUUUGCUGUCACUUAUAGAUGGAUCCGCGCCGCAUUAGCUAGUUGGUAAGGUAACGGCUUACCAAGGCAACGAUGCGUAGCCGACCUGAGAGGGUGAUCGGCCACACUGGAACUGAGACACGGUCCAGACUCCUACGGGAGGCAGCAGUAGGGAAUCUUCCGCAAUGGGCGAAAGCUUGACGGAGCAACGCCGCGUGAGUGAUGAAGGUCUUCGGAUCGUAAAACUCUGUUAUUAGGGAAGAACAAAUGUGUAAGUAACUAUGCACGUCUUUACGGUACCUAAUCAGAAAGCCACGGCUAACUACGUG